UUAUCUUAUAAUGUUAUGUUUAAUUUAAUGAUAUAAUUUAACAGUUACAAAGAUCUGUUUUGGUGGGUGAUUUACAUUUUAAAUAAAUGAUGAAACCAAUUAUCUUUGCAGUAUGUUCACAUAAAAGACAUAAGUCAGUCAAAGGUAUCUCUAUCUUACAAAACCAACAUAUAGUUGUAACAAUCAAUUGCCUAAUCAGUGACCAAAUGAAAGGGCAAUGUAACCAAUACUUAGAUUUAUUUAUGAAUAACUACUCUGCCACAAAAUGUAAAGCCUUUUUUUUAAUUACAUAUUUACGAAAGCUAUGUUAUCACUUAAAAGGUGUUGCAUUAUUUAAGUUGUAAUUUUAGUAGAUCCCAUAUGAUCACUUCAUUCAGAUUGGCUAAACAAAGUAAUUUUUAACCAGGUUUUCCGAAGGAAAAAACUGGUUAUUAGAUUGGCGAAUGCGGGCGGGCUGGCUGGCUGGCGGGCUGGCUGGCUGGCUGGCUGGCGGGCUGGCGGAAUAAGCUUGUCCGGGCCAUAACUAUGUCGUUCAUUGUCAGAUUUUAAAAUCAUUUGGCACAUUUGUUCACCAUCAUUGGACGGUGUGUCGCGCGAAAUAAUUACGUCGAUAUCUCCAAGGUCAAGGUCACACUUUGAGUUCAAAGGUCAAAAAUGGCCAUAAAUGAGCUUGUCCUGGCCAUAACUAUGUCAUUCAUUGUGAGAUUUUAAAAUCAUUUGGCACAUUUGUUCACCAUCAUGGGACGGUGUGUCCCACGAAAGAAUCACGUCAAUAUCUCCAAUGUCAAGGUCGCCACGACUAAAAAUAGAUUUAAAAAAAAAAAAAAAAAACUUACAAAGGGGGUUAAUUUUUUUUGGUCAUUUCAAAAGUUCAGUUUGAGUUUUCUCCCUUUAUCAGAUUUUUUUU